AGAGCGGUCUGGCGGCAGAGCCCCUGGCCCCGCCGCUGCGGGUCACAGCUUCCGGAAGGUGACGCUCACCAAGCCCACCUUCUGCCACCUCUGCUCCGACUUUGUCUGGGGGCUCGCCGGCUUCCUGUGCGAUGUCUGCAACUUCAUGUCCCACGAGAAGUGCCUGAAGCAUGUGAGGACGCCAUGCACGGGCAUCGCACCCAGCCUGGUGAGGGUCCCUGUAGCCCACUGCUUCGGCCCCCGGGGGCUUUACAAGCGCAGGUUCUGUUCUGUGUGUCGCAAGGGCUUGGAGGCACCCGCACUUCGCUGUGAAGUGUGUGAGCUGCACGUUCACCCCGACUGUGUGCCCUUCGCCUGCAGCGACUGCCGCCAGUGCCACCAGGAUGGACACCAGGACCAUGACACGCAUCACCACCACUGGCGGGAGGGGAACCUGCCCUCCGGCACGCGCUGCGAGGUCUGCAGGAAGACGUGUGGGUCCUCCGAUGUGCCGGCAGGUGUGCGCUGCGAGUGGUGUGGUGUCCAGGCCCAUGCGGUGUGCUCCACGGCGCUUGCUCCAGAGUGUACGUUUGGGCGCCUGCGGUCCAUGGUUCUGCCCCCCUCGUGUGUGCGCCUGCUGUCCCGCAACUUCAGCAAGAUGCACUGCUUCCGCAUUGCUGAGGCUGUGGUGCCAGAGCCAGGUAACAAGGAUGAUGGAGCAGAUGGAAUUGCUACCGGGGUGCUGGGCAGAGAGGCCCUGGUGGCUCCAGAGUCAGGCAAGCAGACCCUGAAGAUCUUUGAUGGCAAUGAUGCCAUCAGGAGAAACCAGUUCCGCCUGGUGACUGUCCCACGGCUGGCCAGGAGCCAGGAGGUGCUGGAGGUGGCACUGCGGGCCUACUGUGUCAUUGAGGAUGCUCGGGACUUUGAGCUGCAGGCGCUGCCCCUGCCUUCACUGAGUGGUGACACCCAGGCCCUGGGGAAGGCUGGGCUAAGUGGUCCUGUAGAGGAGGAGGGCAGCAGAGUCUCUGGGCCCCAGGAGCCCAUGCCCGAGGCCUGGGUCAUCCGUUCCUUGCCUCGGACGCAGGAGGUCCUGAAGAUCUAUCCAGCUUGGCUCAAGGUGGGUGUGGCCUACGUGUCCAUCCGUGUGACCCCACAGAGCACAGCGCAGACCGUGGUGCUGGAGGUCCUCCCGCUGUUCGGGCGCCAGGUUGAGGGUCCUGAGAGCUUCCAGCUGGUCGAGGUGCUCAUGGGCAGCAAGCAAGUCCAGCGGACAGUGCUAGCAGAUGAGGAGCCCCUGCUUGAUCGGCUUCGGGACAUCCGGCAGACAUCUGUGCGGCAGGUGAGCCAGACACGGUUCUAUGUCACCGAGAGCCGGACCGUAACCCCACACGUCUCUCUGUUCGUGGGUGGCCUGCCACCUGGCCUGUCCCCCCAGGAAUACAGUCACCUGCUGCAUGAGGCUAUGGCCAUCAAAGCUGCCGUGGUGUCCGUGAGCCAUGUCUACAACUCGCAAGGUGCGGUGGUGUUGGACGUGGCCUGCUUUGCUGAGGCUGAGCGGUUGUUCAUGCUGGGCAGGGACACAGUGGUGCGUGGCCGGCCGCUGUCGCUGCUGGUGCUCCCAGACGUGCUGCACAUGAAGCUGCCCUCAGAUUGCUGCCCGCUCCUCGUGUUCGUGAACCCCAAAAGUGGGGGCCUCAAGGGCCGAGACCUGCUCUGCAGCUUCCGCAGGCUGCUGAACCCACACCAGGUCUUCGAGCUGACCAAUGGGGGGCCUCUUCCUGGGUUUCAUCUGUUCUCCCAGGUACCCUGCUUCCGGGUGCUGGUGUGUGGUGGGGAUGGCACCGUGGGCUGGGUGCUUGGCGCUCUGGAGGAGAUACGACACCGUCUGGCCUGUCCAGAGCCAUCCGUAGCCAUCCUGCCCCUGGGCACAGGGAAUGACCUUGGCCGAGUGCUCCGCUGGGGAGCAGGCUACAGCGGGGAAGACCCGUUCUCUGUGCUUGUGUCUGUGGAUGAGGCUGAUGCUGUGCUUAUGGACCGCUGGACCAUCCUGCUGGACGCCCAGGAGGCCAGUAGUACCGAGAACAGUGUAGUGGACACAGAGCCCCCCAAGAUUGUGCAGAUGAGUAACUACUGUGGCAUUGGCAUUGAUGCUGAGCUCAGUCUGGACUUCCACCAGGCGAGGGAGGAGGAGCCUGGCAAGUUCACCAGCAGGUUCCACAAUAAGGGUGUGUAUGUGCGGGUUGGGCUACAGAAGAUCAGCCACUCCCGCGGCCUCCACAGGGAGCUCAGGCUGCAGGUUGAACAGCAGGAGGUGGAGCUGCCCAGCAUUGAGGGCCUCAUCUUCAUCAACAUCCCCAGCUGGGGCUCAGGGGCUGACCUGUGGGGCUCAGACAGCGACCCGAGGUUCGAGAAGCCACGCAUGGACGACGGGCUGCUGGAGGUGGUGGGUGUGACAGGCGUCGUGCACAUGGUGAGCACGGGAGCCCAGCGGGCGGCCCUCAUGGCACCCGUGGGCCCACUAAGCCUGGCCUGUCUCUGCCCAGGGCCAGGUGCAGGGUGGGCUGCGCUCUGGUAUCCGCAUCGCCCAGGGUUCCUAUUUCCGAGUCACGCUCCUCAAGGCUACUCCUGUGCAGGUGGAUGGUGAGCCCUGGGUUCAGGCCCCAGGGCAUAUGAUCAUCUCAGCUGCUGGUCCCAAGGUACACAUGCUAAGGAAGGCCAAGCAGAGACCCAGAAAGGUUGGCACCACCAGGGACACCAGAGCAGACACCUCAUCUGCCCUUGAGGGUGACCCUAAGUAGAAGCUUAAGAAGGCUGGUUUCCUGUCUUCAGCUGCUCCAAGUUCACACACUGGCUGGCCAGCAGAUGGACCCAUCACCUGGACCCCAGUAUCUUCCCAGGCCUAGUUGUUUCUGGCUCUUGUCCUUGUCUGGUGUUACGUGGACACUGAUGGGAGGCGGGUGGCCAUCUCCCCCUUGGCCCAAGGGCAGCUGUGUAGCAGGUGGGCACUGUUCCCUCAGGGGCUGGGAUCCCAUACCUGUGUUAGUCAUGGAAGUCCUGGGGAAGGGAGGACCGGGAGGUAGGGCCCAGGCUGGGGGUCGACAACCUCUUUGUAACCCUCCACCUGAGCACUAUGAACUGGACAGCACUGGACAAGGGCCACAUGUGCCACUCAGACCAUUCCCCUGGAACUAUUACUGUACCUCCUACUGGCCCUGUAGUAGCAAGUGCUGUCAGCUUUUCCUGCCCCUCCCGGUGGGAAGGUGGCCACCUCUGUCUUGGGGAAGGUGCCUUCCCUUUUUUCCAGCUUGCACUGUGGAAUGUGGCUGCAGGAUCUGUGCAGUACUGACUGGGCCUGGCCACCCUUCUCUAGGGCUGGUGGCGAAGGCUAAGGCAAGGGGAACAGCAUUCCCACACCUGUCAGUCCACCUUGAGCCCAGCUGGAGUGUGGGCUGGGCCCUGAGCAUAUUCCCUUGGGCCCCAGAGUCCACGGGCAGGGCUGGCGUGCACUGGUGGAAGUGUAGACCACCCCCAGGCCUCAGGCUCAACCACAGCACUUUACAUGCCUGCUGCUUGCCAGCAAAUGUCCCAUGUUCCCUUCUUGCCCUGGCUCGAUCCCCCAGGCAGUUCUGCUUCCGGGCCACCCUGGGGCACCAUGCCAAGAUAGCUCUUGCACCUCAGAUCCCAAAGGAGUCUGACCAGAAACAAGAAACCUAUGUGGGAAGUCUCCAGAGGUCCCAACCCUAAAAAAGAGGCCUCAGUCAGAUCUCCCUUUGUCUGCUGGCACUGGGUCUGCAUGGCCAUGGCCCUUGACCUUAGAAGUGGCUGUGGCCUUGCCUGCAGCCCUGGAGAGCCUUGGUGCCAUUAAGCCCAGCCCCUUCUCCUGCUUCUGCCAAAAUUGCACAAAUGCGUCCUGGGGGCCACUUGUGGUCUCUUGUGUAGACAUUCCUUGUGUUCAUGUCAUAUGUAAUGUCCGAAACACGUCUUAGUGGUAUAACUAGCUUUUGCCUUGAUUCUCAUUUGCAAGAAUUGUUUGUUGUGGUCAGUGUGGCUUGUCCUCCAUUUAUGUGAGACUGUCUGCCCACUGGGUGUAUGUCCCUGUGUGCUAGUCCUGUGCGUGACUGACUAACCACUCCUUGAAUGUGACCUAAUUUAUAUCAGGAUGAAUAGAAUCUGGACUUCACUGUUC